ACUUGAGACAGCCCACCACUGUCGACUCAUGGACGUGAAUCCCAGCCUCAAAGCCCAAGCAGUACGGGGCAGGAGAAGUUUUAUUGACGGAGAACAUUUCCGUCUCCCAGCCUGGAAAAUGAGCGCCACCCGCCCAUCCAUCCUGGCCGCCCGCAGGACCCCCGAGCCGCGUGGCGCCCCUGUCGUCGAGCCCAAGUUCCGCAAGAUGGAAUUCUCAGCCCGGGCUGAUAAUAAGCAGACUGAGCAUCCUGAGCCCUGCCCUGGAUCCUGGUCACCCGGCAGGUCGGGACUGCACCCAGAAGCCAUCCCUGGGAAGUUGCCAGGGAGGUGGCAGUGACCUCAGUUUCCUCAUGCGCCAAUGCCCCUGCUUGAUUCUGAGGUUAAAGCCAAAAGACUGAGCCCCUGAGCUCCAUCUUGAAUGAUGGUUGUGAAAAGGUAAAGCUGGGUUCAGUGAUGUGUACCUGUCAUCCCAGCUCCUCGGGAGGCUGAGGCUGGAGGAUCUCAAGUUUGAGGCCAGCCUGGGCGACUUAGGGAGAAUGUGUCCCAAAAUCAAAAAAUAAAAAGGGUGGGGAAUGGAGCUCAGUGGUAGACUGCUUGCCUAGCGUGUGUGGGGUCCUGGGUACCAUCUCAGUACAGCAGAGAAAGAAAAAAU
rnacentral:lncRNA from 1 species